GUGGGGAGUGGGGUGUGGGAAGGAUAGUAGUGGUGGGAGUCCAGCCUACAGGGUCAUACCAAGCAGAGAACAGAUCACAAAGGGCCUUCAAGCUACUGUCAAUAAGUGUGAACUUGAUUUACCUUGAGGUCACAAAAAGGACACUGAAGUACUGUAAAGAGGACUUAUGGUGACAUGAUCUCACUUUUUAUUUUUUUUAAGGCAAUCACUGUCUUAGCCCUGGGCACCAAGAAGAAAGACUUGGGAUGGGGAGCCCAUGACAAUUUGGCUGGCUUAGUAACCUACAGAAGCAGAGAUGGCGACACAAACAAGAAAGGGGCCAAAGGGAGGCAGACAAGAAGGCAGAUUCCAGCAAGACUGAAAAAAUUGAGCUGACAUCAGACAGGAUGUGAGGGGAAGGGGAGAAUCCAGGAAGGGACAGAGAUUUUCCGCUUGGGCACCUCUGGGUGUGUGCUGCCUGUCACUGAGACUAUGAGACCCCAAAGCUGACAACCAGACUUGGAGGUAAACAUCUUAGCAGUCACAGAAUUCCCUUAGUCUUUAUAUUUUUAUUUUUUCCCCUUCAAACACUUCUCACUUGUUAAUGAAAUUCUAGGAAAGGCAGGCUGGGGAUGUGGUUUAGUUGUAGAGCGCUUGCCCGGCACUGAGCCAGGUCCUGGGUUUGGACCCCAGCACCCCAAAGAAGGAGAAAAGGAAAGAAAGAAAAUUCUACUACUUUGCUCCAGGUCUACAGCCCCUGCCUGUCCCUCCAGGUUACCUCGGGCUCUGGGAAGCUGAACCAUCAAGGAAGCACAGGCGCUGACACUGUCCCCUUUCACGAAGGACACCUCAAGCUCCCGACCCUCUGCUGACCUGAGAAGGCAGGGUCCUGCUGGGAUGCCUCAGUGUCACGGUCCACCAGGAGGCUUGCCCCCUGGAAGGACAGACAUCAGCCCCGCCCGGGCCCAGCAUGGACCAUGUUCCCUGUCGCGCACUGGAGUAACGCCCUCCCAAACGCCCAGGACCCGGCCUGCCCCUGCCAACGGCGGGGCAGGAGGGCCACCAGGCUUGCAAGGGGUGGUACAGCCCCGUUCCUCCCCACCUCCCCGCCCCGCACCUCCUGUGGCCGCUGCCUAAGUCGGCUUGGGUGGCACUCCUAAGCCCAGCCACAAGGCGCUGCAGAACAUUUCCCAGCAGAGUCUUGCAGGCUGCAAGGCCUCACCCAGAGAGCGAGAACUUGUGUGCAGUAGGAGUCUUGGACUUCAGAUCAGUGUUGCCUCUUACCCCGUGCUCCUCAAUGUAAUGGACAUUUAUUUACUCAGUGCUCUCUGAGCCUGGCGCUGUGCUAGGAUCUGGAGUAGCAGGUUCCUCGCGUUGCUUCACCAGGGACAGAGAGAGGGGUGAAUAAAUAGUGCGGCUAUAUAGAGGGCUGGGGUCAUGGCUCAGCGGUAAAGCAUUUGUCUAGCAUGUACGAAGCCCUGGGUUCGAUCCUCACACCACAUAAAUUUAAAAAAAUAAAUAAAUAAAGGUAUGGCAUCCAACUACAACUAAAAAAAUAAAUAAUAGUGCAGCUGCAACUACUGCUGACUGAAAAUAAUACCCCCGGGUUGGGAAGGGCCUCAUGUUGAGGUGAUAUUUAGAGGUGACCUGAAGGGUGAGUUUGAGAGAGCUUGAGACAGCAGAGGGAACAGCGGGUCCUGAGAUAGGAAAGAGGCUGCUGUAUGUGAGUCACCGAAAGGCAGCCAGUGAGACCGAAGUAUUGCAAUUUAAGUCAUAGUGAUUUAACUCAUUCUAUUCUGAGAAGUCAGAGAGGUGUAUGCAUAGGUCAUGUAGUCUGAAUACAGAUUUCAAGGAGACAGGACGAUAAAGAACACUGCAUUAGAUCGGACUAACUAGUUUCAGGUUUGGGAAAGACUUCCUAUAGCACCAACAACCAACAGCGCCUUGAAAGCAGGGCAAGUUCUCUUUGGGGAGAGGGCGUGUCCCAUUUCUUGAGCACCCCGCCCCAUGCCAGGCACUGUGCUGCUGUUUACCUACUCUAAUUUCUCACCACAGAACUGGGAGGCAUUUAGUACGUGAGAAAAUGGAGGCUAAAAAGGAUCAAGUGUCUUUUCCAAGCUGGCAAACAGGAGAGCCAAGACCUGACUAUGCUUAGGGUGAUCUGGGCUGAGUUGUGUCAGCCUGGUUGUGUUAAAGUUGGGGUUCUGAGGAAGUAGCUGUCCUCGGGGAUAAGGUUCCAUGGUGUCUCGGGGUACAGGUAGUGAUAGGGAAGGAAGACUGACCUUGGUGGGGCCAUGUGAAGGGAAAGGCAGCACACUGCAGACUGUGGAGCCCCCAAGCAAAAGCAGCCCCAAGAGCAGAGAGGGCUGUUGCAUCACAGGGCCCUCCCCAGCUGGCUCUCUGAAGCACUCCACCGGCUGAGAAGGAAGCAGGCUCCAUGUCCCUACAGGGAAGGUAUGAGUUUUGCUAGCAUUUUCUCUUAGGAGAAAGCACUCGUGCUUGCUUUUCCAACUGGAAAUCCCAGGAUUCCGAAUGCUUGAGCAUAUGCUUAGUGAACUUGGAGGGGUCGGAACAUUGCAGAACACGAUGUGAGUGCCAAUUGCUGCUUGAACCACUGGUGCCCAGCUCCAGGCCUCAGGGCUGAUGUCCCCUGGAGCACUCUGCGUGUACUUUGACACGGCAUCCUCACUCGGUGCUUCUGGCAUCACAUCAGAGAUGCUUUCCAUGUGCACACUGGGGCAAGCGGGCAUGCCAGAACUUGGGCAAGUUUGGCUGGGCCCUUUGAACUGGUGUUUUGCUCACAGUACUCAUCAGUGGAAGUUUGUUUUUUAAGUCAAAAUUGCCUUAACAUCUAGGAACAGCUGAAGGAUCCCAUGACUGUCUCCCUUAGCAAGUGGCAAAAUCUCCUAAGUGUUAAGGAUGGAAAGGGCUUGAGGGCAAUGACUUGAACUUCUGUUUCUUUCAUUGCCUUUAUUUCCUGUUACCAGGAAGUCUUCUCCAUCCUACAGCCUGACUCACUGAGUUCAUUCUUACUCCUUGGUAGCUGGGGCUUUGCUGUUUCAGUGAUGUCCCUUUAAGCAGAAGAUACCCCUCCCAUGGCUGAGUCUUAAGCUUUUUCUACUGUUGACAAGCUGUUCUGUUGUUCUGGCAGUGGAAGUUUACCAUCUCACAUUCUAGGGUGUGCUCUUCACUUCUGAACCAUCCACUUCAUGAAUACUUCUGCAAGGAUAUUUCCACAAAAACCCGCAUCUGUUCUCAUAGCCUAGCUGAAGUCUACAUGCCAUGCACAGUAGCAUGGCCCCCCAAAAGAGGGAUCCUUUGGCAGCAGAACUGAAUUUUAUCAAAAUAACAUUAAAAGUAAAAUGAAAUUUACCUAUGCUACCCAGUGUAUUUUUUUUAUAAAUCAUGCUAAAUAUGAUAUUUAAGGCUUUGAAAGCAUAGCGUACAAAGUAAAACAUCUUAUUUAAAAACAAUUCAUAACAGUGAGGAAAAAAUGCUCAGGCCAAAGGGAGGAAAAAAGUCUUCACACCAAGGAUUUACUUGACACCGGAUUCCACCUAUGAAGGUGUGGCAGUGAGGAACAGAUUGGGUCUGAGUGCCACUGCUGGUCCUGGCAAGCUGCACCCCACUCCCAGGCAUCUAAGGCCAAAGUACUCCUGCUCCUACAUGUCAGGCUUCUAGUAGGAGGGGGUGGGGCUCCACAUAGUCUGGAAUGUUCAUCACAACUCACUAAAUGCAAGCACAUGUUCUGUGAAAGGAGCUACAACCUGAGGUCUGUCACUGCACUUCCUUCAUCAGACACUGUGAAAACCAUUCAUGGAAAUGGAAUGCAUUGUUCCUUCUGCACCUGCCUUUGUAGGUGUGCAAAGAGCCUGUGCCAGG
rnacentral:lncRNA from 1 species